rnacentral:rRNA from 1 species
GGUGAUUAUAGCAACAAGGAUCCACCUCUUGUCCAUUCCGAACAGAGAAGUGAAAUUUGUUAGCGCCGAUGGUACUUGUCAUUCUGGAAGAGUAGGUCAUUGCC